rnacentral:misc_RNA from 1 species
GAUGAAGAACGCAGCGAAAUGCGAUAAGUAGUGUGAAUUGCAGAAUUCCGUGAAUCAUCGAAUCUUUGAACGCACAUUGCGCCUCCUGGUAUUCCGGGAGGCAUGCCUGUUCGAGCGUCAUUUCAACCAUCAAGCCCUGCUUGCGUUGGGGUCCUGCGGCUGCCCGCAGGCCCUGAAAACCAGUGGCGGGCUCGCUAGUCACACCGAGCGCAGUAAUACAUCUCGCUUUGGGCGUGCGGCGGGUUCUUGCCGUUAAACACCCCCUUUUUACCAAGGUUGACCUCGGAUCAGGUAGGAAUACCCGCUGAACUUAAGCAUAUCAAUAAGCGGAGGA